rnacentral:lncRNA from 1 species
GUGUUGGCUAGCUGGCAAGGAAAACAUGGGAAGACAGUGCCAUGCCGCCAUUAAAAGGAGGCAGUUCAAGAAGAUAUUGAAGAAAAAAGAAUUCAUUUGCCCAGAUCCUUGAGAUGCUGCGACUCUGGCCCUUGGGGAACAAAGGAGAGGAGGACUGUUUGGCAGAGACCUAAAUGGGUGUCCAGGAAAAGUACCAAAAGGCCAAGGUUCCUCUGUGCCCUUUCCAGCUCCUCAGUAAUUGAAAAUUUUAUACCUGAUACCAUUAAUCAGAG